rnacentral:rRNA from 1 species
UGGUUAAAAAGCUCGUAGUUGGAUCUCAACAGCCUUGGAAGCGGUUAACUUUGUAGUUUUACUGCUUUAUAGGCUGUGCUUUUGCUGGAGGUUUAGGGGUGCUCUUGAUCGAGUGUCUCUGGAUGCCAGCAGGUUUACUUUGAAAAAAUUAGAGUGCUCAAAGCAGGCUAAAAUGCCUGAAUAUUCGUGCAUGGAAUAAUAGAAUAGGAUGUCGAUCCUAUUUUGUUGGUUUUCGGGACUCGACAUAAUGAUAAAUAGGGACAGUCGGGGGCAUUUGUAUUCAAACGACAGAGGUGAAAUUCUUGGACCGUUUGAAGACAAACUACUGCGAAAGCAUUUGCCAAGAAUGUUUUCAUUAAUCAAGAACGAAAGUUAGAGGUUCGAAGGCGAUUAGAUACCGCCCUAGUUCUAACCAUAAACGAUGCCAGCUAGCGAUCUGCCUGCGUUUUUACUGUAGACUGGGCAGGAAGCUUCCGGGAAACCAAAGCAUUUGGGUUCCAGGGGAAGUAUGGUUGCAAAGCUGAAACUUAAAGGAAUUGACGGAAGGGCACCACCAGGAGUGGAGCCUGUGGCUUAAUUUGACUCAACACGGGAAAUCUCACCAGGCCCGGACACUGGAAGGAUUGACAGAU